rnacentral:rRNA from 1 species
CCUACGGGCGACAGCAGUGAGGAAUAUUGGUCAAUGGUCGGGAGACUGAACCAGCCAAGCCGCGUGAGGGAGGAAGGUACAGAGUAUCGUAAACCUCUUUUGUCAGGGAACAAAGGCGGGGACGUGUCCCCGGAUGAGUGUACCUGAAGAAAAAGCAUCGGCUAACUCCGUGCCAGCAGCCGCGGUAAUACGGAGGAUGCGAGCGUUAUCCGGAUUUAUUGGGUUAAAAGGGUGCGCAGGCGGUCUGUUAAGUCAGCGGUAAAAGCCCGGGGCUCAACCCCGGCCCGCCGUUGAAACUGGCAGUCUCGAGUUGGAGAGAGGUAUGCGGAAUGCGCGGUGUAGCGGUGAAAUGCAUAGAUAUCGCGCAGAACUCCGAUUGCGAAGGCAGCAUGCCGGCUCCACACUGACGCUGAGGCACGAAAGCGUGGGUAUCGAACAGGAUUAGAUACCCGAGUAGUC